rnacentral:tRNA from 1 species
GGAUGUGGCUCAAGCGGUAGUGCGCUCGCCUGGCGUGCCUGCGGCCUGGGUUCGAUCCUCAGCACCA